CACUGCCCGUCAAGCCAUGGAAGCCUGGGGGACCUGAAGUCGUCCACGCCAACCGCAAGGAGGCAGACGCCCACGGUAUGACCGAUGAUUGGGGUG
rnacentral:rRNA from 1 species